AAGAUUCAGUCGAUGCAUGCAUGUGUUGUUGAAUUCGAAGUUAAGAUUACGUAACUAUGGAAUUAGUUAUAGUUUGUGUAUGCUUUUGAGCUUGAUAUCGAAAUUUUGGUAGGUGGAGCCGUGAAGAACAUUUUCCAUUUUGUCCCAAAGAAAUUCUGAUGAUUUUGUGGUGUUAAGUCUGUCGAUGAGCGACUGAUUUUCUGAACAAACCUAAUUUGUCUCUGGUGCCGAAAGUUUGGGUUCACGAACGUCGCUACUUUACGUAAAGGGAAAUAGAAGGAAUAAAUCGUAGAUGGGGUCAUUAUAUAGAAUGGUAAUUUGCACUAGGGUUGGGGCUGGUGUUUUAGUUGGCUUCUUGCCCCUUCAAGGUCCUGAAUUGGUGAAUUUACGUUCCAUCACAAAAAUAUUAUUUUUUGACUUCCUAGUUCCUACGUGCCGGCCUCGUUUUACUGAUCAAUAACUUGGCCUAUAA